rnacentral:rRNA from 1 species
AUGAACUUUAUGUAUGAAAUUGUAUUAAUUUGGUCUUUUCGGUGUUGUGUAAUGAAGAUGAGCCGGCAAUGGAUGUACGAUGACCGAUGCUCUCCCCAGUUCGUUGAGGGCGUGCAUACUUUUCUGCUUAAGGCUGAGGCAAAUAAGCGGGCGGAUGGUUUUAUGUCUUGUCCAUGUGCUGGCUGUAAGAAUGGUCGCAAUUACUCUACGUCAAGAACCAUUCGCGUCCACCUGUUUGAGUCCGGUUUCAUGCCCCACUAUAAUGUUGGGACCAAGCACGGAGAAAGAGGGGUUAUGAUGGAAGACAAUGAAGAAGAAGAGGACGACGACAGCUAUCCUGGCCAUGGGUUCCCUGAAUACGAUGAUACAACAAUGGGGGAAGAAGCUGAGCCUGUAAUGCGGGAAGAAGCUGAGCCGGCAAUGCGGGAAGAAGCUGAAGAAGAGGCAUCAGAUGAACCCGUUGAUGAUCUAGGAGGGGCCAUUGCCGAUGCAAAGAGAAAUUGCGCAAGUGAUUUGGAGAAGAAAAAGUUGCAACGCAUGUUAGAGGAUCACAAAAAAUUGUUGUCCCCGAAUUGCGUAGGUGACAAGAAAAAGCUGGGCACCAUACUGGAAUUGCUGCAAUGGAAGACAGAGAAUGGUGUAUCUGACAAGGGAUUUGGAAAGUUGCUGAUAAUGAUAAAGGAUAUGCUUUCAAAGGACAACGAAUUGCCCGAGAGUACGUACGAAGCAAAGAUGGUUGUCUGCCCUCUAGGGUUAGAGGUGCAGAAGAUACAUGCAUGCCCUAAUGAUUGCAUCCUCUACCGCGGUGAGUACGAGGAUUUGAGCUUGCCUGGUAUGUGGUGCAUUGCGCUAUAA